AUGGUUUGGCUUCUCGACGAUGUCUACGACACGAAACACCGGGCCUACAUGAUGCGCGAGAAGGAGAUGAAGCUUGAACCUUUGAAGAUUCGGUAUCACGGGGUCUCUGGUCCUGCCAUGCCUUACGAUGAGCGGUACACACCGUACAUCAAGCAGGCAGGACUACUCCCGUGGAUUCAGUUGGUCAGCCGGUCCACGCCGAAUCUGAACGCUCCACUGGUGUCCGCUCUUGCUGAUCGGUGGAGGCCGGAGACGCAUAGUUUCCAUCUUCGGACUGGGGAGAUGACCGUGACGCUCGAGGAUGUCUCGUUGAUCACCGGUCUUGCUAUCGACGGGAUGCCUCUUUGUAUGAGCACUGAUUCUGAUGGGUGGCGCGAGCAGAUGAUUGCUCUUAUCGGUAUGGCUCCUACUGAGGCUGAGGCUGAUGUAGAGGAGGGAGAAGAGAAGAAGAAGAGGGAAAGGAAAGCAGCCGGAGCUGCUUUCACGUGGAUUCAAACUCACUUUGCGACGUGCCCUCCGGAUGCCACUGAUGAUGUGAUCUAG
rnacentral:rRNA from 1 species